rnacentral:lncRNA from 1 species
GAUCCAAAGUCAGAGGUGAUCCUCAUGAUCGAUGAUGGUCACGCUUCACUUGCCCAUAGGUGAGUAGGGGCAUCGGAUCGAAGUCAACGAUGAUCUUGACGGUUGAUGGUGCUCUUACUUCACUCAUCUAUGGGUGAGUAGGGGUAACUGACCGAAGUCAGCAACGAUCUUCGCAGUCGAUGAUGCUCUUGCUACACUUACCUAUGGGCAAGGAGGGGCA